AAUCCAAGAAGAAGGAAGAGGAAAAGUGUGACAUUUGGGUUGCAGGUGAGAUCCGAGAAGGAGGAAGAGGGUGGGUCUGGGGUUGCAGGUGAAAUCCGAGGAGGAGGAAGAGGGUGGUGUCGGGGUCGCAGGUGAGAUCCAAGGAGGAGAAAGAGGGUUUCGGAGGAGGGACAUAUCUUUGGAGAAAAAAGGAAAAACAGGAUCUGAUGAAAUCCCUAGAAAUGCUCCUCUUCUCCUGAUCAGUCCAUGCACAGUGAUGCAGAUGCACUCCCUCUUCCGGAUCUAUCCACGUGCGGCGGCGGCACGGACGCAGGUGCGGGCGGUACUCCUCCUCCAGAUCUGUCCACGGACAGCAGUGGUGACGCGGGCGACGGAGCGGCUCCUCUCC
rnacentral:lncRNA from 1 species